rnacentral:tRNA from 1 species
AGCUCAGUCGGUAGAGCGCGUCCUUGGUAAGGACGAGGUCACCGGUUCAAUCCCGGUC